rnacentral:ncRNA from 2 species
AAUCCGGGAGAGUAUUCAGGUCACCCAAAAUACCGGGUGAUGAUAGGGAAAACGGUGAAAUACCGUUGCGGUUCCGCCGCUGUAAUCGGAACGAAAUUCAGGAAAACCACUGUACCUGUUUGAAAGGUAUGGGAAGGCCUGAUGAUUAGGAUGCCGAAAGCCAGAAGACCUGCCUGAGUAUAACUUCACAU